AAUAAAUGUACAAGGUUGAUUUUCGCAAACACACGCGGGACCUUGAAAUGCAGCUGGCAACAGCAGGUAGGCGACUCUAAACAAGAUAGCUGUAUGCAAGUCAGCUCCGGCUGGCAACACUUUCGAAUUGCGGGGACCUCUAAAGCCCUUCACACCAAACUAGUCGGGGAAACCUGCUGGUGGCCCGUGGGAAACCCACCGGGGUACGGUAACAGUUGAAGGGAUGAGCCGCUUCCAUCCGCGGCGAAGUGGAAGAUCCGCAGCGAAGCCCUGCGUCGCCGCGCUGUAGCUGAAGCUGCUACUAGCGUGGGUCAUGGGGAACGUCCACAGACUAAGCGGAAGUGGGUAGGUAGAGAGGGAUAGCAUUGCGCUUCGCUGCCUGCUUAAGAUAUAGUCGAGCCCCGGGGGAAACCUCGGGGGUGCAUUGAGAGGGUGGAGUUGGCUAAAGUCCAACUGGUCCCUCUCUCCAGCAAUAAUGUUCCGUAGGUGAACCUGCGGAAGGAUCAUUA
rnacentral:rRNA from 1 species